UAAGGAAUAUUGGUCAAUGGACGAAAGUCUGAACCAGCCAUGCCGCGUGGAGGAUGAAGGCCCUCUGGGUUGUAAACUUCUUUUAUAGGGGACGAAAAAGGGUCUUUCUAGAUCAACUGACGGUACCCUAGGAAUAAGUACCGGCUAACUCCGUGCCAGCAGCCGCGGUAAUACGGAGGGUGCAAGCGUUAUCCGGAUUCACUGGGUUUAAAGGGUGCGUAGGUGGGUUAGUAAGUCAGUGGUGAAAUCUUCGAGCUUAACUCGGAAACUGCCGUUGAUACUAUUGGUCUUGAAUAUUGUGGAGGUUAGCGGAAUAUGUCAUGUAGCGGUGAAAUGCUUAGAUAUGACAUAGAACACCAAUAGCGAAGGCAGCUGGCUACACAUAUAUUGACGCUGAGGCACGAGAGCGUGGGGAUCAAACA
rnacentral:rRNA from 1 species